UACGUAGGGCGCAAGCGUUAUCCGGAAUUAUUGGGCGUAAAGAGCUCGUAGGCGGUUUGUCGCGUCUGCCGUGAAAGUCCGGGGCUCAACUCCGGAUCUGCGGUGGGUACGGGCAGACUAGAGUGAUGUAGGGGAGACUGGAAUUCCUGGUGUAGCGGUGAAAUGCGCAGAUAUCAGGAAGAACACCCGUGGCGAAGGCGGGUCUCUGGGCAGUAACUGACGCUGAGGAGCGAAAGCGUGGGGAGCGAACAGG
rnacentral:rRNA from 1 species